AAUGAACGUUGGCGGCAUGGAUUAGGCAUGCAAGUCGAGCGCGAAGAGUCAUUUGCUUGCAUUUGACUCUGAAAGCGGCGUAAGGGUGAGUAACGCGUAGUUACCUACCUCCGGGUCCGGAAUAGCUGCGGGAAACUGCAGGUAAUGCCGGAUAACAUCUCAGGAUCAAAGGUGAGAUUCCGCCCGGAGAGGGGACUGCGUCCUACUAGCUUGUUGGUGGGGUAAUGGCCUACCAAGGCUUCGAUGGGUAGCGGGCGUGAGAGCGUGGCCCGUCACACUGGGACUGAGACACUGCCCAGACAUCUACGGGUGGCUGCAGUCGAGAAUCUUCGGCAAUGGGCGAAAGCCUGACCGAGCAAUGCCGCGUGCGGGAUGAAGGCCCUCGGGUUGUAAACCGCGAAAGUAAGGAGGAAGGACCUGCGAAGAGCAGGUUUUGACCGAUCUACAGUAAGGACGGGCUAAGUUCGUGCCAGCAGCCGCAGUAA
rnacentral:rRNA from 1 species